rnacentral:rRNA from 1 species
GAUGAACGCUAGCUACAGGCUUAACACAUGCAAGUCGCGGGGCAGCAUGGGGGUUGCUUGCAACCCCCGAUGGCGACCGGCGCACGGGUGAGUAACGCGUAUCCAACCUGCCCUUCACCACGGGAUAACCCGGCGAAAGUCGGACUAAUACCGUAUGUUGUCCAUUGACGGCAUCCGAUUUGGACGAAAGGCUUGGCGGUGAGGGAUGGGGAUGCGUCCGAUUAGCCAGACGGCGGGGUAACGGCCCACCGUGGCUACGAUCGGUAGGGGUUCUGAGAGGAAGGUCCCCCACACUGGAACUGAGACACGGUCCAGACUCCUACGGGAGGCAGCAGUGAGGAAUAUUGGUCAAUGGGCGUAAGCCUGAACCAGCCAAGUAGCGUGCAGGAUGACGGCCCUAUGGGUUGUAAACUGCUUUUAUGCGGGGAUAAAGUGGCCCACGUGUGGGUUUUUGCAGGUACCGCAUGAAUAAGGACCGGCUA